rnacentral:rRNA from 1 species
UACGUAGGCAGCGAGCGUUGUUCGGAAUUACUGGGCGUAAAGAGUGUGUAGGCGGUGUUCCCAGUCUGUUGUGAAAUCUCCCGGCUUAACUGGGAGGGUGCAGCGGAAACUAGAAUGCUAGAGGGUGGGAGAGGUAAGCGGAAUUCCUGGUGUAGCGGUGAAAUUCGUAGAUAUUCGGAAGAACACCAGUGGCGAAGGCGACUUACUGGACACGUAUUGACGCUGAGGUGCGAAAGCGUGGGGAGCAAACAGG